rnacentral:rRNA from 1 species
AGUCUACACAUGCAAGUCGAACGGUAGCACAGAGGAGCUUGCUCCUUGGGUGACGAGUGGCGGACGGGUGAGUAAUGUCUGGGAAACUGCCCGAUGGAGGGGGAUAACUACUGGAAACGGUAGCUAAUACCGCAUAACGUCGCAAGACCAAAGAGGGGGACCUUCGG